CUUUCUUGCUUUCACUAACUUUCAAAUAUAUAUCUAUUUCAUUUUAAGUGCACACUAAUUCAGGGAGUUCAGGAACAGAAAACAAACGGAUUAUAAGCGUUUGUGAGGUAUACAUACCCCGAAAUGUCAAAUUUGGCGAAAAUUUACGAGGAGUAGAAAGAUGCUAUGGCUGCCUCACUUGUAUCACGCAACGAUGAAGAAGAGUUGAAUGGGGAAACAGAGUCAGAAGCCAGUAGUAUAUAUCAAGGCUCGGUGAUUUCCACUGUACCUGAUCGCCAUGGAUUCCUAGGUGGUUCGCAAUAUAGUCCAGAAAGGAAACAGGCUAUACCAUCUGAUGUAAUACUGCGAAGGGAGAGAAAAUGGAUACAGAUGUUGAACAACUGGAGUCUCUUCAUGACCACGAAUUAUCGUAAGGUCCGUGAGAGGUGCCGCAAAGGUAUACCACCUUCUGUGAGAUUACGUGCCUGGUUGAAUCUAUGUGGUGGUCAGCUUUUGAUGAAUGAAAAUCCAAAUUUGUACGAGGAGCUGAUCAAACGGCCUGGCGAUCCCAAGUACCUAGAGGAUAUCAAGAAGGAUCUCCAUCGCCAGUUUCCACAUCACGAAAUGUUCGUCGAAAAUGCACCCGGACAGCAGGAACUGUUCCAGGUUCUCAAGGCAUACUCCAUCUUGAAUAGCAAAGUGGGUUACUGCCAGGCUCAAGCACCCAUCGCUGCUUUUCUGCUGAUGCACAUGCCAGCGGUGCAAGCAUUCUGGUGUCUCGUUGCGAUAUGCGACAAAUAUCUCAUUGGCUAUUACAGUCAGGGUAUGGAAACGUUGUUGCGUGAUGGAGACAUUUUGUUUGCUCUCUUGAAAAGAGUCUCCCCUGUUGCAUAUAAACAUCUGAAAAAACAGAAGAUGGAACCAAUCUUAUAUAUGACAGAAUGGUUUUUGUGCGUUUACACUCGAACAUUGCCAUGGGAAAGUAUUUUGCGUAUAUGGGAUAUGUUUCUUUGCGAGGGUGUAAAAGUAGUUUUCAAAGUAGGUCUGGUAUUAUUGAAAGGCAGUCUAGGUCGAACUUCUCUUACCAAGCGUUGUCCAACGACAUAUGAAACUCUCCAAGUUCUAAGAAACCCACCCCAACAUAUCAUGGAGGAAGAGGCUUUGGUUUAUCAGAUUCAAAGGUUGAAUUUGAAUGAGGAUGAUUUUGAGUACGAGCAUCAGAGACAAAUGUUGAAAAGAAAAGCGGCGGAAAAAGAGACUGCCAAUCGAACUGACUGAUGAUUAACUAGUUGAAAUAAAGCUAUGGGACGAAAUUUCACUUGUCUAGCGUCCCAACGUGUGCCUUCCUUUCCGUUCUUCUGAUACUAUAAAUUCCGCGAUUUAUACGCUUAGAACUCUUUCGUAUUACGAAGUCAAAGGAUAUGACGAAAAGCGGAUAGCAACUGAUGUCAACAAACUAGAGACAAGGUGCUUCUUCACUAUAUGUGAAAUCUUGCCCUCACAUAAAUUUUAAAUUUGAUGAUGGCAAAUUGAUAGCAUCUCGAUGGCAUUACUUCAUUAUACUUAAAGAAUAUACGUAUGAUAGCAACAUGAUGGCAACUGUUAUCAUCAAUUUGCUGUCCGCGUUUAACAGUAUAUUGACGGCAUCUUGAUGUCAACAUGAAAACAACUUGUCACGAUGUGGUAUCCAUGAUAUGCAGCAUGAUGACAGCAACAUGAUGGCAACAUUUACAAAAAUAUAAAUGCUUUACAUUUGAUAAGAAAACAAGUUAACUAUUUACAUGUAAAAAUAUAAAAUUUUAUAUGGAACAGCGUUCCAUACACACGUUAUGUUUUAAAAGAAUGAGAGCGAGUAUUCGUCUCGAAGUUACAACAAGCAGCUCCUCACUGAAGUAUGCUCUGGUGAGUCUGCCGCAGUGGCGCCUGUGGCCGCACUUGACUCAUGAGAAAUCCUCCAUGGCGUGGCCGCUUAGCGGUGGCGCCGACACUCAUUUGUUCGCGCGGGGCCUUACACACGGCGGGACCGAAUAUUGUCAUGUCAACAAAUUGUUGACAACAAGCUGCAAUUUAGGAAUUUCAACAAUAUUCAUCAGUAUUCUGCCUCUUGUGUCAAACUUUUGAUAUCAUAGGUGCUAUCAUUUUGUUCUCAUGUUGUCAUUAUGAUAUAUACGAAUGCGAACUCAUGACGAGCCGUCAGUUUGCUGUCAGUAUGACGUGUUAUUAUUCAUAAAUGUUUGUUCUUAAAAUUUCAUUAACUGGUGAUAAGUUUUUGCUCUCUUGUUGCUAACUCAGUUUACACAUAGGACUUUGGUGUCAGCAAAUUGACGGCAACUUCACAACAACUCGUGAAGUGCAUUAGUUUACUUAAGGCCAUGACACAUAAAAAACUUAAGCAGUAAGACGUACGCAAUAAGAAAUUCAACGUGUUAGAUUUGCUACUGCUUACGUUUGGCCUUAUAUUCUCAACUGCCAUGGGUUAAUUCGCUUACUGCUUAAGUUUUACUGCUUAAGUUUUUUUAUGUGUCCGACUCUUUAAUACACGAAAUCACGCUUGGCUAUCUGGAAUUGUUUCAAAUACAUUACCUAAUUAUGAUAUAUUCAAAGUUAAAAAAAAAAUCUUAUUUUUCUUACUUGAAUUUCGAAGAAACAUUGUUUUUGUCAGAAAUUAGUUUUACUAUCACAAAACACCUUUUUCACUUCACGACUUUAAUAUGACAUUGUUUCUAACGAAACUUUGUCAGCAGCGUCGUUACAUUAGGACGCAUUCACAAUAUUUAAAGUUAUUUUUAUAUACCCAGACAAAUUUCCAUUGUUCCAAAUAGCCUCGAGUUCCAAAUAGGUCUCCCCCUAUCGACUUUCCGUAAGCAAAGAGUUUGUAUAUCUGUUAAGGUCUCGAACAAAAUAACAAAACCGUUAUAAUUGGAGACCGUUAUGGCUAUAACGAUUUAUAGACACUUAUUUUGACGUUUUUAAAACAGUCAUUGUAAAUCUUUAUUGCAUGUAUAUUUUUUGUAAAAUUUAAAGAAAUAUGAAAGGUUACGGCUCAUGUGAAUAAUUAUUCAAAAUAGAAAAAACAAGCUUAAGAGUCGUGCUGGAUGUUGUGCACCAAAACAAAAACUAAUGACCAAAAUAAAAGCAAACGUUUCAACUUUUA